AUGGACUUCGGAGGUGAAGGAGUUCGAGUCCACGCUGCAUCCAUUGCUUCUCCAGUUCUCUGCGGAAACCUACAACGUCAUUUACUGAGGAUGACUUUCAUGCAGCAGGCUCAGAAAGGCCAAGCGACAACCUCGGCACCAACACAGGGUUUCUCUCUUGAAGGUAACCGCUGUGUCCAUCCUGUUCUGUCUAACCCAUUCUCUGCGUGUCUAGCACUCCUUACCUUGAAGCAGUGGCUUAGUUUCAAGAAUGAUGAUAUGGGAUUUUGUUUCCCCUCACAUAAUUUGUUUUUUAUUUGAGAGGCAGAGACAGAGAGAGCUCCCAUUCACUGGUUUUCUAACCCCAGAUGCUCACAGCAGCCAGGAACACAACCCAGGUCUCCCAGAUGGGUUCAGGAACCCAAUUACUUGAACCAUCACCAGCACUUCCCAGGAUGUUCUAUAGCAGGAAGCCAGGGUCAGGGGCCAGAACUGGGAAUCAAACUCUCAUAUGGCACAUGGGCAUCUUAACCACUAGGUUAAACCCCUACUUCCUGUUUCUUGUGCUUCUUAAAAAUUGGGUUUUGGCUGUCAUAUUGUUCAGCCUCACAGGGAAAAAGAAAAUGGUCUACACACUCAUUUUCUAAUUUUUUUCAAAAGUUUCCCAUUUCUUCCCCCCAAAUUAAGUUGCAAUUGGAACUUUAGUUUAUUUUCCCUGGCGUCAUUUAAUUUUUCCAAAAUGCAAAUGACAGCUGGAUGAAACAAGAAAGAGCCAGAGUAUGAAGUCACCUGCAAACAUCAGAAGUGGGUGGCCUGGGAGUUGGGCUAUUCGCACAACCCUGGGGGUGCUUUUAGUGUAGUUGUGUUAACAGUGCGUGCAGUCUCUUAAAAUCACAAUGCACACCCGCCCUGAGGAGGCUGCAUUCCCAAGUCUGUUCUUCUUCCUCCCUGCCCCACAUAUGGCAUUCGCCAGGUGAGUCCAGACAGCCUGAUCAAGUUCCCUGCACUUUCCUAAGCCUCGCGUGCAUUUUAAUUAACCAGCAUCUUGGGCUCACAGAAACAUCCUCCUUUGGGAUCCCUCCCCUCUCCCCCCUCUCCCUCCCUUCCCUUCCUUCCUUCCUUCCGUAAAGUCUAAUUUACCUAACAUUUCAAUGAAUGACUAGUUAUUAAAUACUAGAUACAUUUUCUCCCUUCCUCCCCAGUUUUGAAUGGACUAUUCAGACAUCCAUUUUCCCUACCUGAUCUAUGAACUUUCAUGUUUUUGUUUUCAACUCAUUAAAAAAAAUUGCCUGCCACUGAAAGCUGAUUGCAACUUUAAGAC
rnacentral:lncRNA from 1 species